rnacentral:tRNA from 1 species
GGCUGGGUGGCAGGAAACGGCAGUUGUCUCGAGCCCUGGGUUUUGGAGUCAGCCAGACCUGGGUUCAAAUCCCGGCUCAGCCA